UUAUAUAUGCACCUUAUAGUUAAAGAUUAUAUAAUUUAGAAAUAGCUAAAAAAUACAUUAUAUGAUAUAUUAUGUAUUAAUAGUCCAAUUCAAAAUUUAAAUGCUAAUUCAAGUAUGAUUGUUUAAGGAGAAUAAUUACAUAAAAUUGUUUUAAGAAUUGAAAACCGAACUAGAACCAUAUCGAACCAAAAUCGAAGAAUCGAGAAUCGUACUGAACCGAAACCGAAACAAUGAAGAAUCAACAAUUUGCUUGGUUGAAAUUGUACUAAAAUUUCGGUUCAGUUCCGGUUCUUAGGCAAAUCCUGAACCAUAUCGGAGCCGAACACCCCUAGCGAAGUUAAUAAUUUGCUUGGUUGCAUUCUUCAUCUUCCUUUCUGAAUGUUGACAUUUAUUCAUCCUAUCAGCUAAAGGGAGAAUCAACAAGCAAGCAAGUUUAGGUGCUUAUUUACUUAUGUUGUUUCCACAGCUAUGAUGAAUGAAUAUCCUAUUUUAAGUUUGUAGUUCUGAAACUUUUCUGCUUGGUCCUUUUAGAGUGAUGCAUUACAGCAUCAUUCUAAUGCUGCAUAUGCAGAAAAGGGAUGUGAGGAUUUCAAUUUUUGGCAUCGAGGCUUAUGUGUCCACUGUUUAAUAGAUUCAUGAUUGAUGCAUGUUCUCUGUCAUCCUUCGAUUUGUCUAGAGUUUAAGUUCUGAAUGCUUAUUUUUCAUCGAUGUUUAUGUCUUUGCCUUGUUGUUAUUGGCAUGUUUGCCUUUUUAGGGAUUAACAUUCUGAAAUCAACUUUCAAGGGAGGCUAAAUUUCUUGUUCUUUUAGUUAAUCCUUUUCCAUACUCUUGCAGCUAGACCAGGAUUUGAAAGGCCUGCAGGUAGUUCAUCACCACGCUCAU
rnacentral:misc_RNA from 1 species